rnacentral:tRNA from 1 species
UCUUCUGUGGUGAAGUUGGUAAACACACCCUGUCUAUCGAAUUGGGGAGACGUGGGUUCAAAUCCCACCAGAACUA